UUUACCCUGCGUUGUGCGAUAAACGUACAGUUAUAUUAACCCAACACACAUUUUCAGGGAAUUAGUCUCUGGUUGCGGAUUGCAGACCUCCCGAUUUUUCGGACGAAGGGAGCGUGAACCAAUCAGGAUGGUACCCACCUGCUUGAGAGCAGGUUAUUAUCGCUGUAUACGGCAAGGCGGGGCAUAU
rnacentral:other from 1 species